rnacentral:rRNA from 1 species
GUUUGAUCAUGGCUCAGAUUGAACGCUGGCGGCAGGCCUAACACAUGCAAGUCGAGCGGAUGAAGGGAGCUUGCUCCUGGAUUCAGCGGCGGACGGGUGAGUAAUGCCUAGGAAUCUGCCUGGUAGUGGGGGAUAACGUCCGGAAACGGGCGCUAAUACCGCAUACGUCCUGAGGGAGAAAGUGGGGGAUCUUCGGACCUCACGCUAUCAGAUGAGCCUAGGUCGGAUUAGCUAGUUGGUGGGGUAAAGGCCUACCUAGGCGACGAUCCGUAACUGGUCUGAGAGGAUGAUCAGUCACACUGGAACUGAGACACGGUCCAGACUCCUACGGGAGGCAGCAGUGGGGAAUAUUGGACAAUGGGCGAAAGCCUGAUCCAGCCAUGCCGCGUGUGUGAAGAAGGUCUUCGGAUUGUAAAGCACUUUAAGUUGGGAGGAAGGGCAGUAAGUUGAUACCUUGCUGUUUUGACGUUACCAACAGAAUAAGCACCGGCUAACUUCGUGCCAGCAGCCGCGGUAAUACGAAGGGUGCAAGCGUUAAUCGGAAUUACUGGGCGUAAAGCGCGCGUAGGUGGUUCAGCAAGUUGGAUGUGAAAUCCCCGGGCUCAACCUGGGAACUGCAUCCAAAACUACUGAGCUAGAGUACGGUAGAGGGUGGUGGAAUUUCCUGUGUAGCGGUGAAAUGCGUAGAUAUAGGAAGGAACACCAGUGGCGAAGGCGACCACCUGGACUGAUACUGACACUGAGGUGCGAAAGCGUGGGGAGCGAACAGGAUUAGAUACCCUGGUAGUCCACGCCGUAAACGAUGUCGACUAGCCGUUGGGAUCCUUGAGAUCUUAGUGGCGCAGCUAACGCGAUAAGUCGACCGCCUGGGGAGUACGGCCGCAAGGUUAAAACUCAAAUGAAUUGACGGGGGCCCGCACAAGCGGUGGAGCAUGUGGUUUAAUUCGAAGCAACGCGAAGAACCUUACCUGGCCUUGACAUGCUGAGAACUUUCCAGAGAUGGAUUGGUGCCUUCGGGAACUCAGACACAGGUGCUGCAUGGCUGUCGUCAGCUCGUGUCGUGAGAUGUUGGGUUAAGUCCCGUAACGAGCGCAACCCUUGUCCUUAGUUACCAGCACCUCGGGUGGGCACUCUAAGGAGACUGCCGGUGACAAACCGGAGGGAGGUGGGGAUGACGUCAAGUCAUCAUGGCCCUUACGGCCAGGGCUACACACGUGCUACAAUGGUCGGUACAAAGGGUUGCCAAGCCGCGAGGUGGAGCUAAUCCCAUAAAACCGAUCGUAGUCCGGAUCGCAGUCUGCAACUCGACUGCGUGAAGUCGGAAUCGCUAGUAAUCGUGAAUCAGAAUGUCACGGUGAAUACGUUCCCGGGCCUUGUACACACCGCCCGUCACACCAUGGGAGUGGGUUGCUCCAGAAGUAGCUAGUCUAACCGCAAGGGGGACGGUUACCACGGAGUGAUUCAUGACUGGGGUGAAGUCGAAACAAGGUA